GGUCCUGUAGCUCAGCCGGUAGAGCGCCGCCAUCAUAGGGCGGACGGCGGAGGUUCGAAGCCUUCCGGGACCA
rnacentral:tRNA from 1 species